UACAUUCACUUGGCUAAGAUCUGGUUC
rnacentral:sRNA from 1 species